UAGUGUUACUUCUUUUUUAGAAUUUGUCUAGCAGCUCUUCCAGUUUUCACUGGGGGAAAA
rnacentral:snRNA from 1 species